AGUAGAAUUGCUGGGUUAUAUGGUAAUGAUAUAUUUAACAUUUAGAGGAAUUUCCAGAAUGUUUUCCAAAGUGACUGCACCAUUUCACAUCCCUACUAACCAU
rnacentral:pre_miRNA from 1 species